rnacentral:snRNA from 1 species
UUCUGAUAUUUUCCGGUGAAAGAAA